UCUCAAUGUCACACUCACCAUCCGGCUACUCAUGCACGGAAAGGAGGUGGGAAGCAUCAUUGGGAAGAAAGGGGAGUCCGUGAAGAAGAUGCGUGAGGAGAGCGGAGCUCGCAUCAACAUCUCCGAAGGGAACUGCCCCGAGCGGAUCAUCACCCUCGCGGGACCCACCAACGCCAUCUUCAAAGCUUUUGCGAUGAUCAUUGACAAACUGGAAGAGGACAUCAGCAGCUCCAUGACCAACAGCACAGCUGCCAGCCGGCCCCCGGUCACCCUCCGACUUGUGGUCCCUGCCAGCCAGUGCGGGUCCCUCAUUGGGAAGGGAGGCUGCAAGAUCAAGGAGAUCCGAGAGAGCACGGGGGCACAGGUCCAGGUGGCAGGGGACAUGCUGCCCAACUCGACUGAGCGAGCCAUCACCAUUGCUGGGAUCCCACAGUCCAUCAUCGAGUGCGUCAAACAGAUCUGCGUCGUCAUGCUUGAGUCUCCCCCGAAGGGUGUCACCAUCCCGUACCGACCCAAGCCAUCCAGCUCUCCCGUCAUCUUUGCAGGCGGCCAGGACAGGUACAGCAGCGGCAGUGCGAGCUACCCCCACACCGCCCCAUCCAUGUGCCUCAACUCUGACUUGGAGGGACCACCUCAGGAGGCCACCCGGCAGCCACUGCAUGGCAACGAACUUGGGCCAAUUCCAGCCUGGGCUGCAGUUCUUCCGGCCUAUACCAUUCAAGGACAGUAUGCCAUUCCACAGCCAGAUCUGACCAAGCUGCACCAGUUGGCAAUGCAACAGUCACACUUUCCAAUGUCUCAUGGCAACACUGGAUUCAGUGGCAUUGACUCCAGCUCUCCAGAGGUGAAAGGCUAUUGGGGUAAUGAUCCAAACACACAAUCUGUAGUUACUCUGUUGUGUAUUGAUGCUGCCUGGGGUCUCGUUCUCCCUGAUAGGUGCUGCCCACCUUUGUGCCUGGAACGGGGGGGAAAGAGGGUUGAGGGGAGCCCUAGAAGGGCUGGAGUUGCAGCCUGACUCAGCUGUCCAUGCCCUGGAGCUCAGCUGGAUAGUAGAGAGCAGCAAGAUUGGGCAGAAGCUCAGCUGUCCCAGUGAGCUGUGGGCCCUGAGCUUCCCCCCCACCCCAAAAAAAACCACACUGAGAGGAGCAACCCCCAGCCAAGGAGGUGCUGGAGCUGUCAGGAGCCGAAGGUGUGUGGGGACAGCACAAUGUCACCUGCUGUGUCCCCAGAGUGCUGCCUGCCCCUCACCCAGAGCCUCAGGAUGAGGUCUCGAGGCUCCCACCACUCCCUCUAGCAGGGAGCGAGCUGGGAAUGGGGGGAAAGUGAGAAAACAUGGAAAAAAUGCACCUGGCACACACGCUUGGCCCCGUGCGAGGCAUGAGUGGCCUUGCAGCACUGGCUGGCAUAGCACUGCCCUGCCGGGCUGCAGCGAGGAGGAGGAGGAAGGAGGGGUGAUGUAGCCCUUGGAGGUUGGUACUGGAGUGGGAGCAGAGCUGAGUGCCCGGCUGGAGCCCCCCAGUGCCAGCACCCUGCUCCUGGAUGGAGGACCCUGCGGCGACACACGGGGAGGGGACAAGGAGGGGAGAAAUCGGGGGGUUUGGAUGCCUCUGCUCAAACCACCUCCCAUGAACUCACCAUUCCAAACGAUCUGAUUGGCUGCAUCAUCGGGCGUCAGGGCGCCAAGAUCAACGAGAUCCGCCAGAUGU